CACAACUAACACUAGAAUAUCCCCAUGAAAGGUAGAUCCACACACAACUAACACUAGGAAUAUCCCCAUGAAAGGUAGAUCCACACACAACUAACACUAGAAUAUUUCCAUAUAAGGUAGAUCCACACACAACUAACACUAGAAUAUCCCCAUGAAAGGUAGAUCCACACACAACUAACACUAGGAAUAUCCCCAUGAAAGGUAGAUCCACACACAACUAACACUAGAAUAUUUCCAUAUAAGGUAGAUCCACACACAACUAACACUAGAAUAUCCCCAUGAAAGGUAGAUUUACACACAACUAACACUAGGAAUAUCCCCAUGAAAGGUAGAUCCACACACAACUAACACUAGAAUAUCCCCAUGAAAGGUAGAUCCACACACAACUGACACUAGAAUAUCCCCAUGAAAGGUAGAUCCACACACAACUAACACUAGAAUAUCCCCAUGAAAGGUAGAUCCACACACAACUAACACUA